UACAGAGGUCUCAAGCGUUGUUCGGAUUCAUUGGGCGUAAAGGGCGCGUAGGCGGCGGGGUAAGUCGGGUGUGAAAUCUCAGAGCUCAACUCUGAAAUGGCACUUGAUACUGCUCUGCUAGAGGACUGGAGAGGAGAUUGGAAUCUCGGUGUAGCGGUGAAAUGCGUAGAUAUCGAGAGGAACACCAGAGGUGAAGACGGGUUGCUGGGCUGACACUGACGCUGAGGCGCGAAAGCCAGGGGAGCAAACGGG
rnacentral:rRNA from 1 species